GACGAACGCUGGCGGCGUGCUUAACACAUGCAAGUCGAACGCUGAAGCCCUUUCGGGGGUGGAUGAGUGGCGAACGGGUGAGUAACACGUGGGUAAUCUGCCCUGUACUUCGGGAUAAGCCUUGGAAACGGGGCCUAAUACCGGAUAGGACCUGUCCUCGCAUGGGGGUGGGUGGAAAGUUCCGGCGGUAUGGGAUGAGCCCGCGGCCUAUCAGCUUGUUGGUGGGGUAGUGGCCUACCAAGGCGACGACGGGUAGCCGGCCUGAGAGGGUGGCCGGUCACACUGGGACUGAGACACGGCCCAGACUCCUACGGGAGGCAGCAGUGGGGAAUCUUGCGCAAUGGGCGAAAGCCUGACGCAGCAACGCCGCGUGGGGGAUGACGGCCUUCGGGUUGUAAACCUCUUUCGACAUCGACGAAGGGGCCCUGUUGUGGGGUUUUGACGGUAGGUGUAGAAGAAGCACCGGCUAACUACGUGCCAGCCGCCGCCGUAA
rnacentral:rRNA from 1 species